UCCCUUUAAGCAUCUCUCUUUUGGGCUUUCUUAGCUUCAAACCUCUGAGAUUUGAAGAAGAAGGGAAAUAGAAUAAGUGCCAUUCCGAGGGACUUAUUUGUCUCUCAUUCUGGGCCCCCUCCCUAUGAAAAGGUCUGCAUGUUACUUUAUUGUCUUCACUGGUGCUUCAAUUUAUGGCUCUUUUGCAGGAGAAGCUUUUAAAGAAAAUGCAGUCUUUAUGGGAAAAACCCUGUGAAAAUCAGAGAAACCUGAACUUGGAAACCACCAGAAUCAGCCACUGGAAGCAUUAUCACUGCAGGGUUAUGUGAAUGUAAGGCUAGAAGCUAUUAGAGCUGAGUAUCAGAAGAUGCCUGCAUUUCAUCAUGAAGAAGAAAAACAUAAUUUGGAGAUGCUGAAAAAGAAGGGGAAAGAUAUUUUUCAUCAACUUCAUUUAAGUAAAGCCAAAAUGGCUCAUAGGAGGGAGAUUUUAAGAGGAACGUAUGAGGAGCUGAUGAAAAUGUGCCAUAAACCAGAUGUGGAGCUACUUCAG
rnacentral:lncRNA from 10 species